rnacentral:rRNA from 1 species
UACGGAGGAUGCAAGCGUUAUCCGGAUUUAUUGGGUUUAAAGGUGCGCAGGUUGUUUGUAUAAGUCAGUGGUGAAAGUACUGUCGCUUAACGGUAGGAUUGCCAUUGAUACUGUUGGACUUGAAUAUGGAUGAGGUAGGCGGAAUGUGUAGUGUAGCGGUGAAAUGCAUAGAUAUUACACAGAACACCGAUUGCGAAGGCAGCUUACUAAUCCAUCAUUGACGCUGAGGCACGAAAGCGUGGGGAGUCAAACA